rnacentral:rRNA from 1 species
AUUGAACGCUGGCGGCAGGCCUAACACAUGCAAGUCGAGCGGAUGAAGGGAGCUUGCUCCUGGAUUCAGCGGCGGACGGGUGAGUAAUGCCUAGGAAUCUGCCUGGUAGUGGGGGAUAACGUCCGGAAACGGGCGCUAAUACCGCAUACGUCCUGAGGGAGAAAGUGGGGGAUCUUCGGACCUCACGCUAUCAGAUGAGCCUAGGUCGGAUUAGCUAGUUGGUGGGGUAAAGGCCUACCAAGGCGACGAUCCGUAACUGGUCUGAGAGGAUGAUCAGUCACACUGGAACUGAGACACAGUCCAGACUCCUACGGGAGGCAGCAGUGGGGAAUAUUGGACAAUGGGCGAAAGCCUGAUCCAGCCAUGCCGCGUGUGUGAAGAAGGUCUUCGGAUUGUAAAGCACUUUAAGUUAGGAGGAAGGGCAGUAAGUUAAUACCUUGCUGUUUUGACGUUACCAACAGAAUAAGCACCGGCUAACUUCGUG